GCCUGGCUGGCUCAGUUGGGAGAGCAUGCUAUUCUUGAUCUCCAGGUUGUGAGUUCAAGUCCCACGUUGGGUG
rnacentral:tRNA from 1 species